rnacentral:rRNA from 1 species
UUGGAGAGUUUGAUCCUGGCUCAGGAUGAACGCUGGCGGCGUGCUUAACACAUGCAAGUCGAGCGGUAAGGCCCCUUCGGGGGUACACGAGCGGCGAACGGGUGAGUAACACGUGAGCAACCUACCCUCAACUUCGGGAUAAGCCUCGGAAACGGGGUCUAAUACCGGAUAUCACCUCAUUCUUCAUGGUUUGGGGUUGAAAGUUCUGGCGGUUGGGGAUGGGCUCGCGGCCUAUCAGCUUGUUGGUGGGGUAAUGGCCUACCAAGGCGGCGACGGGUAGCCGGCCUGAGAGGGUGUACGGCCACAUUGGGACUGAGAUACGGCCCAGACUCCUACGGGAGGCAGCAGUGGGAAUAUUGCACAAUGGGCGGAAGCCUGAUGCAGCAACGCCGCGUGCGGGAUGACGGCCUUCGGGUUGUAAACCUCUUUCAGCAGGGACGAAGCGAGAGUGACGGUACCUGCAGAAGAAGGACCGGCCAACUACGUGCCAGCAGCCGCGGUAAUACGUAGG